rnacentral:rRNA from 1 species
UAUUGACAAUGAAGAGUUUGAUCCUGGCUCAGGAUGAACGCUAGCGAUAGGCUUAACACAUGCAAGUCGAGGGGCAGCAUGGUCUUAGCUUGCUAAGACUGAUGGCGACCGGCGCACGGGUGCGUAACGCGUAUGCAACUUGCCUCACAGAGGGGGAUAACCCGUCGAAAGACGGACUAAUACCGCGUACACUCUAUGUUGGGCAUCCAAUGUAGAGGAAAUGAAAUUCGCUGUGAGAUAGGCAUGCGUCCCAUAAGCUAGUUGGUGAGGUAACGGCGCACCAAGGCGACGAUGGGUAGGGGAACUGAGAGGUUGAACCCCCACACUGGUAC